rnacentral:rRNA from 1 species
GCGAACGGGUGAGUAACGCGUGGGAACGUGCCCAGAGGUACGGAAUAGCCCAGGGAAACUUGGAGUAAUACCGUAUACGCCCUACGGGGGAAAGAUUUAUCGCCUUUGGAUCGGCCCGCGUUGGAUUAGGUAGUUGGUGGGGUAAUGGCCUACCAAGCCGACGAUCCAUAGCUGGUUUGAGAGGAUGAUCAGCCACACUGGGACUGAGACACGGCCCAGACUCCUACGGGAGGCAGCAGUGGGGAAUCUUGGACAAUGGGGGAAACCCUGAUCCAGCCAUGCCGCGUGAGCGAUGAAGGCCUUAAGGUUGUAAAGCUCUUUCACCGGGGAAGAUAAUGACGGUACCCGGAGAAGAAGCCCCGGCUAACUCCGUGCCAGCAGCCGCGGUAAUACGGAGGGGGCUAGCGUUGUUCGGAAUUACUGGGCGUAAAGCGCGCGUAGGCGGAUUGUU